AAGAUGUGUCUUCAGUCGACGUUUGAAGACCGUGAGUGACUCUGCUGUUCUGACAUCCAGUGGAAGUUCAUUCCACCACCUUGGUGCUCCAGCACAGAGAAGAGUCUGGAUGUCUGUUUUCUGUGGGUUUUGAGGGAUGGAGGUUCGAGCCGAGCCGUACUGGAAGCUCUAAGAGCUCUUGGUGCAGAUCUGGCUUUGACCAUCGCCAUCAGGUAUGAAGGUGCUGGUCCGUUUUUUGCCUUGUAGGCCAGCGUCAGGGUUUUGAAUCGGAUGCGGGCGGCAACAGGAAGCCAGUGGAGGGAACGCAGCAAAGGAGUCACAUGACUGAACUUCGGAAGAUUGAAGACGAGUCGUGCUGCAGCAUUCUGAAUUAACUGUAGUGGUUUGGUGGCUCGCAAUGGAAGACCAGCCAGUAGAGAGUUGCAGUAGUCAAGUAUAGCUGAAUGCCGACAAUGGGAUCAGUGGGAACAUCUUAUAAACCCGGCAAACGUAUACAUGACGGAUGCUGCCAACGUUGCCAUCUUUCCUUUGGAAAGUGGGAACUUCAGUGGAUUGGAUCUGACCGUGCACGCUCAUUAUGAGGUACACUCAUAUGAGGUCAUUAUGAGGUUACCACUCGGCAUUUUUCUUUCCUCCAACCUUCCACGUCCUCGCUGCCAAACUGCCUCCGCGACCAAGCACACCUCGAUCUUUUCAAAGAAAUCCUGGAUGGAAGGCUGGUGUCCACCAGGGUUAUUGUGGUGAGAUUUGUGGAGGCAGAGGCGAGUGUGGCUUGUAUCCUACAGAAAGUAAAGGUGGCAAUGGCGAACGAUGAGGAAUAUGUCCUGACUGACGUUCAUGGAAAUGAGAUCAUGGAGACCGAGGGAACAACAGGGUCAUUAUACUGGAGGCAAAAUUCAAGGAAGAUCCAUGCUUUAGAAAAAACAUCAUAUCAGCAGUGGCAGACCAGGAGGACACGUACACAGUCAUUUUCCCCACAGUUAAAACAUGAGCUAAAACUAUGGAAUUAUCCGUUGAGAAUUGUUAACAACUCAUUGUUAUAAAAUGUGGUGUACCC